AGCUGGAUAUCUGUUCGAAAUGUGCGCCAAGAAAGUUCGCCUGAUUUUCCAUGCUGUCGCCUUGAGUAUUCACUAAAGGCAGAGACUUGUCGCCGCGUUCUUCGACCCUGGGAUUUGACCUGCUUGAAAUUGACAAUAUUUUCUGCAGAUGAGAAUCCCGAAGUAAACUCCAUGCCUUGUUCUGCUUUUUACGCGCCAUUCGACACUCAUCAUUCCACCACGGAAGACGGCGUUUUGUGGACAAUCCACUUGUUACAGCGAUACAUUUGGUGGAGGUGUCCAGGAGAAAAACCGUAAAAUAUUUAACCGCAGCAUCUAUGCUUAAAGCACUCAUGUCUUCCCAGGAUAGAGAAGCAAGCUUUUUUGAACUUUUCCCAGUCAGCUGAGUCAGUUUUCCAGCAAGUUCACGUCAUCUGGUGGAGCUUCCUACGGAAACUACUGCUCCUUACCUGUUUCCACAACGUUAGAUGAAUACAAAAAGCCCGCAACGAGCGUUUAGAAAGAAUAAAACAAAC